rnacentral:misc_RNA from 1 species
AACGCACAUUGCGCCCGCUGGUAUUCCAGCGGGCAUGCCCGUUCGAGCGUCAUUUUAAUCCCUUCCCGGGAGACUCUUCUAUUCUGUAGUGGAGUGUCCACGGGGCGUUGGCACUGGGCGCCUUGUUUUUUUAGGCGGCCGGAGCUGAAAUGAAGCGGCGGACUCGCGGCGGCCCCUAGCGCAGUAGAACAACCCUUCUCGCUUAGGAGAGCUGUAGCGGUGGACCACAGCCCUUACAUGCUUUUUUUUUUAAAAAAAAAAGCUACAUCUAAAAACUUGACCUCGGAUCGGGUAGGACUACCCGCUGAACUUAA